UGGAUCCAGACUUUGAUCAUGGCUCAGGAUGAACGCUAGCUACAGGCUUAACACAUGCAAGUCGAGGGGAAACGAUAUUGGAAGCUUGCUUCCGAUAGGCGUCGACCGGCGCACGGGUGAGUAACGCGUAUCCAACCUGCCCAUCACUUGGGGAUAACCUUGCGAAAGUAAGACUAAUACCCAAUGAUAUCUCUAGAAGACAUCUGAAAGAGAUUAAAGAUUUAUCGGUGAUGGAUGGGGAUGCGUCUGAUUAGCUUGUUGGCGGGGUAACGGCCCACCAAGGCGACGAUCAGUAGGGGUUCUGAGAGGAAGGUCCCCCACAUUGGAACUGAGACACGGUCCAAACUCCUACGGGAGGCAGCAGUGAGGAAUAUUGGUCAAUGGACGAGAGUCUGAACCAGCCAAGUAGCGUGCAGGAUGACGGCCCUAUGGGUUGUAAACUGCUUUUAUAAGGGAAUAAAGUGAGUCUCGUGAGGCUUUUUGCAUGUACCUUAUGAAUAAGGACCGGCUAAUUCCGUGCCAGCAGCCGCGGUAAUACGGAAGGUCCGGGCGUUAUCCGGAUUUAUUGGGUUUAAAGGGAGCGUAGGCCGGAGAUUAAGCGUGUUGUGAAAUGUAGACGCUCAACGUCUGCACUGCAGCGCGAACUGGUUUCCUUGAGUACGCACAAAGUGGGCGGAAUUCGUGGUGUAGCGGUGAAAUGCUUAGAUAUCACGAAGAACUCCGAUUGCGAAGGCAGCUCACUGGAGCGCAACUGACGCUGAAGCUCGAAAGUGCGGGUAUCGAACAGGAUUAGAUACCCUGGUAGUCCGCACGGUAAACGAUGGAUGCCCGCUGUUGGUCUGAAUAGGUCAGCGGCCAAGCGAAAGCAUUAAGCAUCCCACCUGGGGAGUACGCCGGCAACGGUGCAACUCAAAUGAAUUGACGGA
rnacentral:rRNA from 1 species